AAGAUCACAUGAACCUGAGCCAU
rnacentral:siRNA from 1 species